rnacentral:rRNA from 1 species
ACGCUCGACACCUACGGGAGACAGCAGUUGGGAAUAUUGGACAAUGGAGGAAACUCUGAUCCAGUGACGCCGCGUGAAGGAAGAAGGUCUUCGGAUUGUAAACUUAUUUUGUCAGGGAAGAAAAAAUGACUGUACCUGAAGAAAAAGCACCGGCUAACUACGUGCCGGCAGCCGCGGUAAUCUGAGCGGGCUGGCAAGGC